ACAUAAAACAAAUGCCUGUUACUUGACAAAAGAUGCCAAGACUGGUUACUCACAGCUACCACCGUAAGUACACACAACUACACCCAAACUAUAAGUACACCCAAACUAUAAGGAUGUGCAGUGUCCUGUAUUAUGCAUUCUUAAGCUACACUUUAUUAUUUUCUUUUCUUUUCAGGAGCCAAGUGAAUAAGUAGGGAGUGGAACUUCACGAACAUCUGAUCUUUGUUUCACUUCAGUAGCUGAAAUUGCCAUGGUUGUGAAUAGUGUUGUAUCAAAGAAUCACUGACCAAACAUUACUUUGAAGAAAUUGAAUAUAGAUUAUAAUGAAAUUUGGGCUCCUCUGACACAGUUGCAAAGUGUUUAAAAAUAUAUAUUCAUUAAGUGAUUUUUAAUAUUUUUUCCACAGCUAAGUAUUGCAUUAUUAU